rnacentral:rRNA from 1 species
GACAGAGGGUGCAAACGUUGUUCGGAAUUACUGGGCGUAAAGCGUGUGUAGGCGGCUAUGUAAGUCGGAUGUGAAAGCCCUGGGCUCAACCCAGGAAGUGCACUCGAUACUGCGUAGCUUGAGUACCGGAGAGGUUGGUGGAAUUCUCGGUGUAGAGGUGAAAUUCGUAGAUAUCGAGAGGAACACCGGUGGCGAAGGCGGCCAACUGGACGAGUACUGACGCUGAGUCACGAAAGCGUGGGGAGCAAACAGG